UUUUUUUAUUAGUAAAAGUGGUCCAAUUAUAAUCCGAAGUGCUUAUUCUCAGGAGGGUCACGGGCACACUGGAACCUAUCCCAGCUGACUUCGGGCAGUAGGCUGGGGACGCCCUGAACUGGUUGCUAACCAAUCGCAAUAUUUUUCGUACUCCUCAGCAUGUCUUGUUGUAUAAUGAUGUAACCCAGGUUAACAUAGCCUUGUAAAAUAAGAGCCUGUUAAUAAAAACAGUCAUGAAGAAAGUACAUUGUAAAUAUCUUCUAAACAGACCUACACAGAUUAAAAGCAUAUAAAUUAUUAAAACAAUACAAAUUCAUUAUUUUAUUAAUGUUUUGUAUUUGUUAAAAUGAUAAAAGUGUGAACAUUCACUUUUAUUUUGAAGGAGACAUGAUGACGUAAAGAAAAGACCCGUGUGACCAGAAAUGCGAACUCUACUUUUUUUUUUUUCGCGCCAUUCUUUUUUCGGGAUGACGACGAAGGUGCACUAAAUACGGGAGUAAGUACGUUAAACUAAAGGAAAGAGAGAGAGUGAAACAGGAUUAUAUCAAGCUUUUUUUUGUAUCUGAUGGACUUAUUUUUCUAUUUUCAAACUUUCUUUUCACCUUGGUGAUGCACUAAGUGUGGAACGGGACUUGAUUCACAAGAGUUGGAUCAGAAACAUCUGAACUAAUAACGAAGCUGAUUUAUUGUGCGAGUCGCAAGAUGGCGAGCCACCAAAGAGGCCUUUGAAUUGUCUCUCACGCAGGAGCGGAGAACACUCGCUGGACGUUGUUCAUCGAACCUGGUUUCGAAAAGCCGGUCUGCUGCAUGACGGAGGAGAGCACAAGCUCAGGAGUGAAUUUGCCUCAGGACGAGAGUGACGAUGAAAGCGACAACGAAAGAGAGGAUGAGAAAGAGUGUUGCGACGUACAUCUGGCGCCAAUCGGACACUGAGGAGGAAGAUUUUGCUGGUUUCAGUGGACAGGAGGAAGACAAAGACGGCUCUCAGUGACUUUGUUGACUGGUGUGUUUUUUUUUUACCCGCCUAGUUAGUACUGUUGCUUCCGUGUUUACAACAAAAUGUUAGUGUUAUUAAAACUUUAGCCUAGCUAGUGCUGUUACUUCAGUGUUUACAACGAAAUGUUAAUGCUAUUAAAACUUUAGCCCAGCUAGUGCUGUUACUUCCGUGUUUACAACGAAAUGUUAAUAUGAUUAAAACUUUAAAAAGGC